GUCCCUGAAGCGUAAUGGAUAGCGCAUUGUACUUCUAAUCGAAAGGUCGUGGGUUCGAAUCCCACCUGGGAUG
rnacentral:tRNA from 1 species